GGUUGAAACUCUGUUUUCCCUUUAGUUCGUAGUUGGAUGUCAACGGCAAGAGAGAAAAUUUUGCAGCAACAUUGUGCUCAGCUAUUCUGAAUCCAUCUGUGAUUUCCAUCAAGAAUUUAUUUUAAACUGUGGCAAUCCGAUCGGAUUAGAGAAAACCGUCUUUUAUGUCUAUUAUGAACAGUCUAUCGGCAUGUCUUUAAUUAUUACAAGUGACCCAUGGUUACAGAGGUUCUCUGGAAACUCUGAAAUUAGUCAAAACCUCUGAAUAAAAAGUGUUGUCACAGGAGUCUAAUGAUGAUGGAUGAUCUUUGGCAACGGAUGAUCCUUCUAAAACAUUUAUUGAUAUCAAAUCAACUCUGGAGUUUUACCUUACUAGAUCAAUGGAUGAAUUUUUUUCAGCUGCAAAGAGAAUGAAAAUAGUUGGAAGGUAUCGGCAUUUGUAUAAAUCUGCGAAAAGACUGAUAAUUUGAAAACAUUCCAGUCCUAUAACUUAAUGGUCCAAUCUUAAAAUUCUUCGACACGUGGUACAGGACUAGCAAAGUGUGAGAGUGAAAGAAAUCUUUUUGCAUCGUACUGAUGGUCGAAUGGAGGGUAAUAUCUAAUUUUCAGCUAGAAACUCAAGCCUUCAGAAAGAAAAGAAACAUCUUGAGACAGUUAUCCAUACUUUACUACCAAAUCAUUCUAAUCCAGCAUCCUGGAGAGGGGGUCUGUGGUGGUUGUCAUCUGACGAUUCUCUGGAAACACCAAAUGGCAGAGGUUUUGCUUUUAGCAGAAAUAUAUUAAUCUGUCAUUCGUAAAAAAAAUUUAGGCAAACUAUACCCUUAUUAAA